GGUUAAGCGACUAAGCGUACACGGUGGAUGCCCUGGCAGUCAGAGGCGAUGAAGGACGUGCUAAUCUGCGAUAAGCGUCGGUGAGGUGAUAUGAACCGUUAUAACCGGCGAUUUCCGAAUGGGGAAACCCAGUGUGUUUCGACACACUAUCAUUAACUGAAUCCAUAGGUUAAUGAGGCGAACCGGGGGAACUGAAACAUCUAAGUACCCCGAGGAAAAGAAAUCAACCGAGAUUCCCCCAGUAGCGGCGAGCGAACGGGGAGGAGCCCAGAGCCUGAAUCAGUGUGUGUGUUAGUGGAAGCGUCUGGAAAGGCGCGCGAUACAGGGUGACAGCCCCGUACACAAAAAUGCACAUAUUGUGAGCUCGAUGAGUAGGGCGGGACACGUGGUAUCCUGUCUGAAUAUGGGGGGACCAUCCUCCAAGGCUAAAUACUCCUGACUGACCGAUAGUGAACCAGUACCGUGAGGGAAAGGCGAAAAGAACCCCGGCGAGGGG
rnacentral:rRNA from 1 species